GUGAGAAUGUUGGCAUGAGUAGCGAUAUGGGGCGGCGAAUCCCGCAGGACGUAAGCCCAAGGUUUCCAGGGGAAGGUUCGUCCACCCUGGGUUAGUCGGUACCNAAGCUGAGGCCGAAAGGCGUAGGGGAUGGACAACAGGAUGAUAUGCCUGUACUACCGAUAAACGUUUGAGAGAAGGGAUGACACAGUAGGAUAAGCUAAGCACACUGUUGGUUAUGUGUGCCCAAGCAUUGAGGCAGUCAAAGUAGGCAAA
rnacentral:rRNA from 1 species